UAGGGAAUCUUCCGCAAUGGACGCAAGUCUGACGGAGCAACGCCGCGUGAAUGAAGAAGGAUUUCGGUUCGUAAAACUCUGUUGUUAGAGAAGAACAGCGCAUAGAGUAACUGUUAUGCGUGUGACGGUAUCUAACCAGAAAGCCACGGCUAACUACGUGCCAGCAGCCGCGGUAAUACGUAGGUGGCAAGCGUUGUCCGGACUUAUUGGGCGUAAAGCGAGCGCAGGCGGUCAAUUAAGUCUGAUGUGAAAGCCCCCGGCUCAACCGGGGAGGGUCAUUGGAAACUGGUGGACUUGAGUGCAGAAGAGGAGAGUGGAAUUCCAUGUGUAGCGGUGAAAUGCGUAGAUAUAUGGAGGAACACCAGUGGCGAAGGCGACUCUCUGGUCUGUAACUGACGCUGGGGCUCGAAAGCGUGGGUAGCAAACAGG
rnacentral:rRNA from 1 species